UCCCUGUUACCAGGGCAGUCUAGCUAGAGAAAUUCAACUAACUAAAAGGGUUGCGCUCGUUGAAGGACUUAACCUAACAUCUCACGACACGAGCUGAAGACGGCCAUGCAACACCUGUCACUGGAUUCCCGAAGGCACAGUCUCCUUUCGGAGACCUUCCCAGGAUGUCAAACCUUGGUAAGGUUCUACGUUUACCAUCGAAUUAAACAACACGCUCCACCGCUUGUGCAGGUCCCCGUCAAUUCCUUUGUGUUUUAGUCUUGCGACCGUACUCCACAGGCGGCUUGCUUAACGCGUUAGCUUCGCUACUACCAGGGUCGAUACUGAUAACAGCUAGCAAGCAUCGUUUAGGGCGUGGACUAC
rnacentral:misc_RNA from 1 species